GGACGAACGCUGGCGGCGUGCUUAACACAUGCAAGUCGAACGGAAAGGCCCUGCUUUUGUGGGGUGCUCGAGUGGCGAACGGGUGAGUAACACGUGAGUAACCUGCCCUUGACUUUGGGAUAACUUCAGGAAACUGGGGCUAAUACCGGAUAGGAGCUCCUGCUGCAUGGUGGGGGUUGGAAAGUUUCGGCGGUUGGGGAUGGACUCGCGGCUUAUCAGCUUGUUGGUGGGGUAGUGGCUUACCAAGGCUUUGACGGGUAGCCGGCCUGAGAGGGUGACCGGCCACAUUGGGACUGAGAUACGGCCCAGACUCCUACGGGAGGCAGCAGUGGGGAAUAUUGCACAAUGGGCGGAAGCCUGAUGCAGCAACGCCGCGUGCGGGAUGACGGCCUUCGGGUUGUAAACCGCUUUCGCCUGUGACGAGGCGUGAGUGACGGUAAUGGGUAAAGAAGCACCGGCUAACUACGUG
rnacentral:rRNA from 1 species